UUCUCCCAGUGGCUGCCGAAUUGAGCUAAUUAAGCCCAGAGGAGCCACUGCCUGGUCCAGGACCAGUCUGACAAAACCUGUCCUGGGUCCUUUCCACUGGCUUUUGCACCAUCUUUCACAGUGAUCAGUUUCUGGGCCUCAGUUCCUUCUCCUGGGUCCCCCUUUCCCUUCUUUGUUUUGAGGGUUCUACCUUAGCCUUCCCAAGUCUUGGGGUGCUGGUGGGGCUAGAGACUGGCACUGCUCCAAGGUCAUACACACAAUCUGUUCUCUGGCUUGACUGAGCUCCUUGAGGGCAGGGGCCAGGUCUGAGUUGCCUCUGGCCUUUCCCUGUCCAGCAUUGAGCCU
rnacentral:lncRNA from 1 species